UACGGAGGAUGCGAGCGUUAUCCGGAUUUAUUGGGUUUAAAGGGUGCGUAGGCGGACUGUUAAGUCAGCGGUAAAAGCCCGGGGCUCAACCCCGGCGAGCCGUUGAAACUGGCUGUCUUAGAUGUCGAGAGGUAUGCGGAAUGCGCAGUGUAGCGGUGAAAUGCUUAGAUAUUGCGCAGAACUCCGAUUGCGAAGGCAGCAUACCGGCGGCGAUCUGACGCUGAGGCACGAAAGCGUGGGUAUCGAACAGG
rnacentral:rRNA from 1 species